rnacentral:rRNA from 2 species
UGGGGAAUAUUGGGCAAUGGGGGCAACCCUGACCCAGCGACGCCGCGUGGGGGAAGACGGCCUUCGGGUUGUAAACCUCUUUUGUACGGGAAGAAGGAAGUGACGGUACUGUACGAAUAAGUCCCGGCUAACUACGUGCCAGCAGCCGCGGUAAUACGUAGGGGACGAGCGUUGUCCGGAAUUACUGGGCGUAAAGGGCGCGCAGGCUGUGCUGCAAGUCAGCUGUUAAAUGUCUGGGCUUAACCCGGGCAUGCGGUUGAGACUGCGGUGCUGGAGUGCUGUAGAGGCAAGUGGAAUUCCCAGUGUAGCGGUGAAAUGCGUAGAUAUUGGGAAGAACACCGGUGGCGAAGGCGGGUAACUGGACUGCAACUGACGCUGAGGCGCGAAAGUGUGGGGAGCAAACAGG